UACGUAGGGUGCGAGCGUUGUCCGGAAUUAUUGGGCGUAAAGAGCUCGUAGGCGGUUUGUUGCGUCUAUCGUGAAAACCUGCAGCUUAACUGUGGGCUUGCGGUGGAUACGGGCAGACUUGAGUCAGGUAGGGGAGAACGGAAUUCCUGGUGUAGCGGUGAAAUGCGCAGAUAUCAGGAGGAACACCGGUGGCGAAGGCGGUGGUCUGGGCCGGCACUGACGCUGAGGAGCGAAAGCGUGGGGAGCGAACAGG
rnacentral:rRNA from 1 species